UACGUAGGGUGCGAGCGUUAAUCGGAAUUACUGGGCGUAAAGCGUGCGCAGGCGGUCUGUUAAGACCGAUGUGAAAUCCCCGGGCUUAACCUGGGAACUGCAUUGGUGACUGGCAGGCUUUGAGUGUGGCAGAGGGGGAUGGAAUUCCGCGUGUAGCAGUGAAAUGCGUAGAUAUGCGGAGGAACACCGAUGGCGAAGGCAAUCCCCUGGGCCUGCACUGACGCUCAUGCACGAAAGCGUGGGGAGCAAACAGG
rnacentral:rRNA from 1 species